rnacentral:rRNA from 1 species
GAGACCCACGCCAACAGUUGCCAGCUCGUCCUCCGGGAUGGWGGGGACACUGUUGGGACCGCCUCUGCUAAAGAGGAGGAAGGAAUGGGCAACGGUAGGUCAGCAUGCCCCGAAUUAACUGGGCUACACGCGGGCUACAAUGGGUGGGACAAUGGGUAUCGACACCGAAAGGUGAAGGCAAUCUCCUAAACCCAUCCGUAGUUCGGAUUGUGGGCUGCAACUCGCCCACAUGAAGCUGGAAUCCGUAGUAAUCGUGUCUCAAAAUGGCACGGUGAAUAU